AUACUUAUCUGGAGGGGGGGAAAAUACCAUGAUCACUAAGAUGGUUUUCCCAGGGCACAGGUCAUACAUUUCACCCUGGGAGUGCUGACCUCUGCUGUUUCCAAUUUGGGGAAACCCAACUGGUAGUGGGGAACUGUGCUUACACUCUCCCCUA
ensembl:snRNA U1 U1 spliceosomal RNA